rnacentral:piRNA from 1 species
UGGUCAUGUAAAGCCGCUUCUUCAAAGUGGU